AAUAGAUACCCGGGUAGUCCACGCCGUAAACGAUGAGUGCUAAGUGUUAGAGGGUUUCCGCCCUUUAGUGCUGCAGCAAACGCAUUAAGCACUCCGCCUGGGGAGUACGGUCGCAAGACUGAAACUCAAAGGAAUUGACGGGGGCCCGCACAAGCGGUGGAGCAUGUGGUUUAAUUCGAAGCAACGCGAAGAACCUUACCAGGUCUUGACAUCCCGUGACAACUCUAGAGAUAGGGCAUUCCCUUUCGGGGGACACGGUGACAGGUGGUGCAUGGUUGUCGUCAGCUCGUGUCGUGAGAUGUUGGGUUAAGUCCCGCAACGAGCGCAACCCUUGAUCUUAGUUGCCAGCAUUCAGUUGGGCACUCUAAGGUGACUGCCGGUGACAAACCGGAGGAAGGUGGGGAUGACGUCAAAUCAUCAUGCCCCUUAUGACCUGGGCUACACACGUGCUACAAUGGAUGGUACAAAGGGCAGCGAAACCGCGAGGUUAAGCCAAUCCCAUAAAACCAUUCUCAGUUCGGAUUGCAGGCUGCAAC
rnacentral:rRNA from 1 species